GGCCUAACACAUGCAAGUCGAGCGGUAACAGGGGGNGCUUGCNCCCCGCUGACGAGCGGCGGACGGGUGAGUAAUGCAUAGGAAUCUGCCCGAUAGUGGGGGAUAACCUGGGGAAACCCAGGCUAAUACCGCAUACGUCCUACGGGAGAAAGGGGGCUUCGGCUCCCGCUAUCGGAUGAGCCUAUGUCGGAUUAGCUGGUUGGUGAGGUAAAGGCUCACCAAGGCGACGAUCCGUAGCUGGUCUGAGAGGAUGAUCAGCCACAUCGGGACUGAGACACGGCCCGAACUCCUACGGGAGGCAGCAGUGGGGAAUAUUGGACAAUGGGGGGAACCCUGAUCCAGCCAUGCCGCGUGUGUGAAGAAGGCCCUCGGGUUGUAAAGCACUUUCAGUGAGGAAGAACGCCUGGUGGUUAAUACCCAUCAGGAAAGACAUCACUCACAGAAGAAGCACCGGCUAACUCCGUGCCAGCAGCCGCGGUAAUACGGAGGGUGCGAGCGUUAAUCGGAAUUACUGGGCGUAAAGCGCGCGUAGGUGGCUUGAUAAGCCGGUUGUGAAAGCCCCGGGCUCAACCUGGGAACGGCAUCCGGAACUGUCAAGCUAGAGUGCAGGAGAGGAAGGUAGAAUUCCCGGUGUAGCGGUGAAAUGCGUAGAGAUCGGGA
rnacentral:rRNA from 1 species